AGUGAGAGUGGAGCUACAGCGACUGGUCAGGCACUCAAGCAGGUAGAACCUUGACCUCGCCUCCCACCCCACCCCAAUCCGGCCGGGGUUCCGAGGUGCGGAGAAGCUGCCCAGGGACCGAGUCUGAGUCAAGCCGCAGGGUCCAGAUUGUGUGUUUUUGGGGUGAGCGAUAUCCCAGUAGUCCUUGAAGGGUCGAGGCUCAGAGAGGCCGCAGUGCUGUUUGGUCGCUCUGUGCGCUGGCUUGCGCUCUCUGAGGCUGGUGUGCCCUUGCAGGAGCUCCACCGCUAUGUCGAGGAUGCGUUUGGGUCCACCCACCAGGAGCGCCCGCUCCGAAGAAGGAAGCGAGAUCUUCCUGGAGGGAUCAGGUAAUUCAUGAUUCCCCAUCUCCUCCGAAGUUCCUUUUCUGUUCUCAGCUUCUUCAAGUUCCAGAGCCAGGGGUGGGAGGCCUCCCAGGAGCGCCCUCUCCUGGGGGCAGAUUCGAGCCCAAACAGGGGGAUCUUGGCCUGUGGUGGGGCCAAGCCAGGCAGUGGGAUGUCUAGGCAGACAUUGGACUUCAGGAGUGGUUUGAAUGGGGUCCAGAACAUCCAGAAGAGAGCUAGGGGAGGACCCGUGAGAUGGCUUACCUAGUAAAGGCUCUUGGCACCAAACUGACGGCCUGAGUGCCACUCGGGAACCCAGGGGGUGGGAGAAGAAAAGCAACUCCCUUGGGACCUUCCUACACU
rnacentral:lncRNA from 1 species